rnacentral:lncRNA from 10 species
GUGAAGCACAACAUUUCAUCUCUUUGAUUCUAGACACUAUCCUCAGAAAUUAGAUUUGAAAAAUGAGCUUCAUUUUCGAAGAACAUAUUGAAUUUGUUAUCUCGAUUAUGGAGGGCGACAAGUCCCACAGUCUGCCAUCUGCAGGAUGGAGAACCAGUCUUUAUAGGGGGAGAAUAAUUGACUCCAUUCAAGUGUUCGCUCCUGUUUCAAUCAACUAUGGCUGAAGAGUGAGGAGACAUUUGGAAUAAAUAUGGCUUCUGGGGGCCCAUUCCUAUGGAUCAGCAGCUGGCUUCUGGAGGCCCAUUCCUGUGAAUCGUCGAUCUCAUAGAAGAUAAUAUUGUUAGAAGGCUUACCUCAUUGAUGCUGAACAUCCUAAAAAGCUUCUGCUGCUUUGAGUCACUGAAAAAGACCAAGAAACAUGAAUUUAAAAAAAAAUUUCAAAUGUUAUAAAAUAAAUAAUAUGAACUCAUUAUACCUACAAUGAAUAAUUUAAAUUCUUCUUUGGUAGUCCAGCAUAGGUUUAGAAACUAUGAAAACCCUAGAAGAAAACCUAGGCAAUGCCAUUCAGGACAUAGGCACGGACAAAGAUUUCAUGACGAAGACGCCAAAAACAACUGCAACAAAAGCAAAAAUUGACAGAUGGGAUCUCAUUAAACUAAAGAGCUUCCAUACAGCAAAAGAAGCUACCAUGAGAGUGAACAGACAACCUAUAGAAAGGGAGAAAAAUUUUGCAAUCUGUUCAUCUGACAAAGGUCUAAUAUCCAGCAUCUACAAGGAACUUAAAUAAAUUUACAAGAAAAAAACAAACCCAUUAGAAAAUGGGCAAAGGACAUGAAAAGAUACUUCUCAAAAGACAUACAUGUGGCCAACAAUCAUACAAAAAAAACCUCAACAUCACUGAUGAUUAGAAAAAUGCUAAUCAAAACCACAACGAGAUACCAUCUCAUACCUGUCAGAAUGGCUAUUAAUAAAAAGUUAAAAAACAACAGAUGCUGGUGAGGUUGUUGAGAAAAAGGAAUACUGUUAUACUGUUGGUGGGAAUGUAAAUUAGUUCAACCAUUGUGGGAGACAGUGUGGCAUUUCCUCAAAGACCUAGAGGCAGAAAUACCAUUUGACUCAGCAAUCACGUUACUGGAUAUAUACCCAAAGGAAUAUAAAUCAUUCUAUUAUAAAGAUACAUGCAUGCGCAUGUUCACUGCAGCAUUAUUCACAAUAGCAAAGACAUGGAAUCAACCCAAAUGCCCAUCAAUAACACACUAGAUAAAGAAAAUGUGGUAUAUAUACACCAUGGAAUACUAUUCAGCCAUAAAAAGGAAUGAAAUCAAGUCCUUUGCAGGAACAUGAAUGAAGCUGAAGGCCAUCAUCUUCAGCAAACUAACACAGGAACAGAAAAUAAAAUACCACAUAUUCUCACUUACAACUGGGAGCUGAAUGAUGAGAACAUAUGGACACAUAUAGGGGCACAACACACACUGGGGCCUGUUGGAGGGUGCUGGGGGGAGGAGGCAGAGCAUCAGGAAGAAUAGCUAAUGGAUUCUGGGCUUAAUACCUAAGUGAUGAGAUGAUCUGUGCAGCAAACUACCAUAGUACAUGUUUACCUAUGUAACAAACCUGUACGUCCUGCACAUGUACCCCUGAACAUUAAAA